AGUAUCUAUAAUACGAGUGUGUGCUUUGCAAAUCUGGAUGAGAGACUUACCAUGUUUUUACUGCAGAUACAGUCAGUUUGUGUGCUCAGCUGUAAGGGUGAAAAAUCUGUUGCAUGUAGAUCCGUUGAAAUGGCAACCACAUAUUUCAUGCUCUGGAGUUCUCUGCAGCGAUCAUAUCCCACUAAUGUUGGUGUUCUCCUUAUAGGCAGACCUGCUUACUUGCUGCUACCUUCCAGGAGAGCCAAGAAGCAUGCUCUGGCAUUAACUUCACUGAAAAUGACUCCCAUCUUACAAGAAUUAAAUAUCAUCCUGGAAAAGAAAACGUUCACUUAGAUAACGAAAAUGACUGCUGGAAGCAUCACAGCAAGUGUCAGGCUCUGCCCAGGAUGUCUGUGGUUAGUAGUGAUUGAAACCUGGUCUCCAAAACCCCAAGCAAGUCUCUCCUCCCAGACUGGACCUCC
ensembl:lncRNA